UACGGGGGGUGCAAGCGUUGUUCGGAUUUACUGGGCGUAAAGGGCGGGUAGGCGGCCACCGCAAGUCGACUGUGAAAUCUCCGGGCUUAACCCGGAAAGGUCAGCCGAUACUGCGGGGCUAGAGUGCAGAAGGGGCAACUGGAAUUCUCGGUGUAGCGGUGAAAUGCGUAGAUAUCGAGAGGAACACCUGCGGCGAAGGCGGGUUGCUGGGCUGACACUGACGCUGAUGCGCGAAAGCUAGGGGAGCGAACGGG
rnacentral:rRNA from 1 species